AUUGAACGCUGGCGGCAUGCCUUACACAUGCAAGUCGAACGGUAACAGGUCUUCGGAUGCUGACGAGUGGCGAACGGGUGAGUAAUACAUCGGAACGUGCCCGAUCGUGGGGGAUAACGGAGCGAAAGCUUUGCUAAUACCGCAUACGAUCUACGGAUGAAAGCAGGGGACCGCAAGGCCUUGCGCGGACGGAGCGGCCGAUGGCAGAUUAGGUAGUUGGUGGGAUAAAAGCUUACCAAGCCGACGAUCUGUAGCUGGUCUGAGAGGACGACCAGCCACACUGGGACUGAGACACGGCCCAGACUCCUACGGGAGGCAGCAGUGGGGAAUUUUGGACAAUGGGCGCAAGCCUGAUCCAGCCAUGCCGCGUGCAGGAUGAAGGCCUUCGGGUUGUAAACUGCUUUUUGUACGGAACGAAAAGACUCUUUCUAAUAAAGAGGGUCCAUGACGGUACCGUAAGAAUAAGCACCGGCUAACUACGUG
rnacentral:rRNA from 1 species